ACUCCAGCCUGGGCGACAGAGCAAGACGCCGUCUCAAAAA
rnacentral:sRNA from 1 species